GACAGAGGGGGCAAGCGUUGCUCGGAAUUACUGGGCGUAAAGGGCGCGUAGGCGGGAUGGCAAGUCGGUCGUGAAAUCCUUCGGCUCAACCGAAGAACGUCGAUCGAUACUGCUGUUCUUGAGGGUUGCAGAGGAGACUGGAAUUCCCGGUGUAGCGGUGAAAUGCGCAGAUAUCGGGAGGAACACCGGUGGCGAAGGCGGUUCUCUGGGCCUGACCUGACGCUGAGGAGCGAAAGCGUGGGUAGCAAACAGG
rnacentral:rRNA from 1 species